UCUGGAUCUACUUUUAACCCAAACUGUAGCAGCUAAGCGCCCAUUCUGCUUUUAACUGGUUUCAAAUGCUAAAAAACACCCUGGGACUUUUUAAUGGAGGCUAUUCCAUGAAUAGAGGAUGUUCUUGCCAAAGUUCUGCACCAGAUAACUGAGCAAUCUUCAUUUCCCUUUUCCUCCUGCAGUGGGACUCCCACGCACCAGCACUACAAACAGAGCUCACCCCCACCACCCUGAGUUCCUAUGUGUAGCACAGCAAGGAGUCACACUGCACAGUGCUUAAAGCUUCUCACAAUCUGAGUAACAGCCCCACAACGGCCAUUUAUGGACACUACCAGAUGGACAUUAGGAAUUACUCCAGUCACUGCGCAGAGAUUAUACUUCUUUGCAAAGAAGCUCAGCUUUGUAUUAUCCAACCAGGCUGGAGCCAUUCAAUUUGCUGCCCUAAGCCAUAAUAUCUGCUUUUUCAGAAAAGAGAACAGAAGAUGGAUUAGUUGAAAUCGAUUUAUUAUAGAACACGGGAAAGCAUCCAUCAAAACAAAGCAAACAGUUCUAAGUAUUCAUGCAGCGAGCCCACAUCAGUCUCGGAGCUCGUUCUCGCUGUGGAGAGCUUUCCCUGCUGAAGCCAGCUGCACUUUGCUAAUUGCUAUCUCCUCUAGGUGCAAGAUGACAGGAAAUACGGCUGCAAGAGCCGAGCAUCAGAAAGAGCAGGCACAAUUUGUACUGCUGCUGCCAGCUGUGCUCCCGGACCUCAGCAGAUGGCACUGUCACAUCAGCCUGAGCACAGGAAAGAAGCAGCACACAGAUUGUGUUUUCACAGGUAAUGCUUGUUUUUCUUCCUAUAUAUACAUAUAUAUUCUCUAAUUGGUACCUAGCUAC
rnacentral:lncRNA from 1 species